rnacentral:rRNA from 1 species
AGUGAACGCUGGCGGUAUGCCUAACACAUGCAAGUCGAACGGCAGCACAGUAAGAGCUUGCUCUUACGGGUGGCGAGUGGCGGACGGGUGAGGAAUACAUCGGAAUCUACUUUUUCGUGGGGGAUAACGUAGGGAAACUUACGCUAAUACCGCAUACGACCUACGGGUGAAAGCAGGGGAUCUUCGGACCUUGCGCGAUUGAAUGAGCCGAUGUCGGAUUAGCUAGUUGGCGGGGUAAAGGCCCACCAAGGCGACGAUCCGUAGCUGGUCUGAGAGGAUGAUCAGCCACACUGGAACUGAGACACGGCCCAGACUCCUACGGGAGGCAGCAGUGGGGAAUAUUGGACAAUGGGCGCAAGCCUGAUCCAGCCAUACCGCGUGGGUGAAGAAGGCCUUCGGGUUGUAAAGCCCUUUUGUUGGGAAAGAAAAGCAGCAGGUUAAUACCCCGCUGUUCUGACGGUACCCAAAGAAUAAGCACCGGCUAACUUCGUG